AGAGCGAACGCUGGCGGCAGGCUUAACACAUGCAAGUCGAGCGGGCGUAGCAAUACGUCAGCGGCAGACGGGUGAGUAACGCGUGGGAACGUACCUUUUGGUUCGGAACAACCCAGGGAAACUUGGGCUAAUACCGGAUAAGCCCUUACGGGGAAAGAUUUAUCGCCGAAAGAUCGGCCCGCGUCUGAUUAGCUAGUUGGUGAGGUAAUGGCUCACCAAGGCGACGAUCAGUAGCUGGUCUGAGAGGAUGAUCAGCCACAUUGGGACUGAGACACGGCCCAAACUCCUACCGGGAGGCAGCAGUGGGGAAUAUUGGACAAUGGGCGCAAGCCUGAUCCAGCCAUGCCGCGUGAGUGAUGAAGGCCCUAGGGUUGUAAAGCUCUUUUGUGCGGGAAGAUAAUGACGGUACCGCAAGAAUAAGCCCCGGCUAACUUCGUGCCAGCAGCCGC
rnacentral:rRNA from 1 species